GACGAACGCUGGCGGCAGGCCUAACACAUGCAAGUCGAACGCUCCGCAAGGGGAGUGGCGCACGGGUGAGUAACACGUGGGAACCUACCUUCUGGUACGGAACAACCAAGGGAAACUUUGGCUAAGACCGUAUACGACCUCCGGGUGAAAGAUUGAUCGCCGGAAGAGGGGCCCGCGUCCGAUUAGGUAGUUGGUGAGGUAACGGCUCACCAAGCCUUCGAUCGGUAGCUGGUCUGAGAGGAUGACCAGCCACACUGGGACUGAGACACGGCCCAGACUCCUACGGGAGGCAGCAGUGGGGAAUAUUGGACAAUGGGCGCAAGCCUGAUCCAGCCAUGCCGCGUGAGUGAUGAAGGCCUU
rnacentral:rRNA from 1 species